rnacentral:piRNA from 1 species
UAAAACCUUCAACUCUGCCUUUUGCUC